CUGUGUUACUGAGGAAUUACUGCUCAGUAUGCAGGACUUGUAUAGCUUUGGUUCCAACACUCAAGUCCAGAGCUGUUUCUUCAUGAUUCCUCUCUGUCUUGUUCCUUAAUGGAUUAAAAGUUUCAGCACGGAAGAGAGCGAGCUCUGACAUGGGACUGAAGGGACAGAAGAUUAUGCUGAAGUGCUUUUGACUUUCACAAAACUUGAGUUUUGCAAGACAUUUCCUAGCUGAGCAGUUGGAUGUCUCAGUGAGCAUUUGUCAUUUGUGCAUCUGGGCAAGAUAAACCAAAGGUGAAAUAUUUCUGGAGCCAGACCACUUUAUUGCUGUAGCUGUGGCUCAAGACAAUUGGAUGCCAGAGUGAUUUUUGAGAUGGAACGAUCCAGUUUGAACAGAGACAGUCUUCUAAAUUGGGCUUUGCUGAGGUGUAAGUGAGCUACACAUAAUUACACACGCUGUAUACAAUUUUAUGAGUUUGGACCUGCCCCCACACCUGUGAUGCCACCUCCACCUUCAAGACAAUAAACACAUGCUUCAUCUUCUCAAGUUUCCAGCUAAGCAACAUUUUUAAUUGAAUUUACUUCACUCUAUGAAAAACCAAAGAACACUGAGGUGUAUGAGACAGCUCAGACAGGAAGAGAAGGUGCAGAGAUGUAGAGGUGUCCACUUU